rnacentral:tRNA from 1 species
GCAAUUAUGAUGAAAUAGGUAGACAUGUAAGCUUGAGGGGCUUAUGGAUAAAAAUCCGUCUCGGUUCGACUCCGAGUAAUUGUA